rnacentral:RNase_P_RNA from 1 species
GAGGAAAGUCCGGGCUCUAUUUAUAAAAAUAUAGCUGUAUAAAUUACAGUGUAGAAAACUACAAGGAUUGUGCCACAGAAAUAUACCGCCUUUCUUUUAGGUAAGGGUGCAAUGGUUUGGUAAGAGCAAACCAGAAGUAUCAUUAAGAUAUUUGCUAGGUAAACCCCGUAUUAGAGCAAAGUAUUUAGUAAUAGGUGAAAAAUUUUUUAUAAGGUUUAAGUAUUAUUCUUACUAAUGUCUGUAUACUGCAUAAAGUAAUAUUUUACUACAGAUCAAUAAUUACCCUUUUUAAUUAAUGAUUGAAAAGAACUAAACCCGGCUUAC